rnacentral:lncRNA from 1 species
GCCUUGGUGCUGCCCUGAGGAAGGUUGCAGCCCUCCCGGCCCACACCCUGCUCCCUUUCUGCUCUGUGCCUCCCGCAAAGGUGCCGCCCGACUGGGAGCGCGCGUCCUUCCAGCAGGCCAGCCCGGCCAGCCCUGACCUGAAGGCGGGCACCGCCUUCCCCUGCCCCGGAGGCUUCAGCCAGGGCUCGCUGAUCGCCGCCGACGAGGAGUCCCGGGAGUUCGACGACCUGAUCUUCGCGCUGAAGACCGGCGCCGGCCUCAGCGUGAGCGACACCGAGUCCGGCCAGGGCAGCCAGGAGGGCGGCGCGCUGAGCGACUCUCAGAUCGUGGAGCUGCGGCGGAUCCCCAUCGCCGACACGCACCUCUGACGCCGGGGAAGUGGGCAGGGGCGGAGGACCGCUGUCCGGUGGGUCGGCCCAGCCCCCGCAGUGCUAGCUCAUCCCCACUUGACUAACCUGGUUUCCUGAAAGUGAUAAUAAAAGCAAUAGAACGCGUUUGCUGUGAUCCGGGCUCAUCAUUUAAAAUGAACGAUCUGUGUUGGGCAAAAAAGCAAAGCCUGCCUAGCUGGGGUCGAGCACCUCACCCGUGUCUGCUCUCGUGAUGCAAGAGGUCUGGGUCCAAGACUUCACUCCGCUAGAAGAUGAAAUUUAAUUCCUGAAAAGCCAUACAAUUAUGGCCAAGCCUGUCAGCCCAUGGGCAUAAUCCCAGCACUCAGGAGACUGAGGCAGGAGGAUCUCUGUGAGUUCAAGACCACCCUGGCCACUUGGCCCCUACAGAGAAGCAAGGUCACCGCUCUUUCCUGCCUCUUGUGACACACAAUGCGCCCAGUGCUGUGGCCGCUGCCAGGCCAAGGAGGUGACCAGGGACACUGUCUGCAGUCCCCAGCGCUCUCUCUGUGACCUCAGCCACACGGCCACCAAGGGACUUCCGGCUGGGGCUGAAACCUGGGAAAAUGAGCACUGGGAAGGUAGGAAGUGACAUCUCUGCCGUGGGCCUUUUGAGCAAGUAAACUCGAGGAGCUGAUUUUCUCUCCCAUGAGAGAGUCCUGAUCCAGCACAGCGGAGUGUGCUUGUCUCCCUGGGGAGCCCAGCAAGCUCCCGACACUGGCUGUUUACACGCAGGACCCGUACACUCGCUCGCGGCUGUCCAGUGACACCGAUGGAGGGAAGACACUUUUUGAUUUUGUUUUUUUAAGGCAAGGUCUCACUGCAGUUCAGGUCCCCUUGAACUCACCGUGUAGGCCAGGCUGGCUUCAAACUCACAGCGAUCCUCCUGCCUCAGCCUCCCGAGUGCUGGGAUCACAGGUGUGUGGCCACCACGCCUGCUGAUGCUGUGCUGCUUCACCCAAGUGAAGGCAGCCCUCCCCGCCUGGCCCCAGGGGAGGGUUGAGCAGGUGACCAUUCCACCCCCAAACUACAAAUUCAG